rnacentral:tRNA from 1 species
UACUAGUAGUACAAACAAGUAGUAUUAGUACUAUUACUAGUAAUGCACUACUAGUAGCAUGGACUACUAGUUCUAGUUCUAAUACUAGUACUAGUAG